rnacentral:lncRNA from 1 species
AUGCACACCGAGGGUUGCACACGCACGCUGAGGGUUGCACACACAGCGUGCACGCUUGCAUGGCAUUGCAUGCACUCGCACAGCGUUGCACGCGCUCGCACGGUGUUGCACACUCACGGUGUUGCACACUCACGGUGCUGCACCUCGCACAGCAUUACCCGCCCGGUGUUGCAGCCCCUCGCAGGGCGUUGCACACCCUCUCACGGCGUUGCACGCUCUCUCACGGCGCUGCCCGCUCUCGCACGCCGUCGCACGCCCCCCGCCGCCGCUGCACGCCCAGACCCGCAGCACCCCCCCAACGCCGCCCGCCCGGCGCCGCCGCAAACUUUUCCCCGGCGGAGCGGAGCCCCCGGCGGGGCGGGGCGGGGCUGGGGGGGGGGCCGCGCUGCCGCCCUGCGAGCCCCCGGCGCUCACCUGCGGGCGGGCGGCGGCGGAUCCCCGCCGAUCCCCGCCGAUCCCCGCCGAUCCCGGACCCCCGAUCCCCGCUCCCGGCUCGCGCCUCCCCGCCGGCACCGGACCGCGCGCGCCGCCCGCCCCGCCCCCGGCGAUGACGUCAGGGGGCGGGGCCGCCGGACCGAGCACCGAGCGGCCCCCGGGGGGGGGGGGGGGGGAGCGGGGGGGUCGUGCAAGGGGAGUGGAGCCCCUCGUGCAAGGGGUCCUCGUGCACAACGGCUGUGUGCAAGGGGGGCGGGAGCUCCUCGUGCACGGGCUCCCCGCGCAGAACGGGCGUGUGCAAUGGGUGUGGGAGCCCCGCGUGCAAGGGGUCCUCGUGCAAAACGGGCGUGUGCGAAGGGUCCUUGUGCGCAAUGGGCGUGUGCGAGGGGCGUGGGAGCUCCGUGUGCAAGUGGUCAUCAAAAAGGGGUGUGGGCAAGGGGCGUGGGAGUCACGUGUGCAAGGGGUCCUCGUGCAAAAUGGGCAUAUGAAAUGGGUGUAGGAUCCCCUCGAGCGAAACGGGGGUGUGCAACGAGUGUGGGAUCCCCCCGUAAAAGGGGGUCCUUGUGCAAAACGGGUGUGUGCAAGGGGUGUGGCAGUCCUAUGUGCAAGGGGUCCUCGUGCACAACGGGUGUGCAAGGGGCGGGGAAGACCCUCGGGAAAAGGGUCCUCAUGCAAAACAGGUAUGUACAAGGAGUGUGGGAGCCCCUUGUGCAAGGGGCAGACCUUGCACGAAGCAAGCCAGCACGGGGGCUGUGUGAGCGAGCCCUCGUGCAAAGGGAUGCCACCCAGCAGCGGUACAAACAGCCACGCAGCACAGCGCACCGACGUUCAGGCCGUUUUCCACGCAGACUGGACGUUUCGGUUCUGAUCUCUUUUUUGUGUGUGUGUUUCCAACAUUUUAGUUAA